rnacentral:rRNA from 1 species
AACGCUGGCGGCAGGUUUUAGGCAUGCAAGUCGAACGAGAAAGCAUCUUCGGGUGUUAGUAUAGUGGCGCACGGGUGAGUAACGCGUGGGAAUCUACCUUUUGGUGGGGAAUAACAGUUGGAAACGACUGCUAAUACCGCAUAAGCCCGUAAGGGGAAAGCUUUAUGCGCCGAAAGAUAAGCCCGCGUUGGAUUAGCUAGUUGGUAGGGUAAAAGCCUACCAAGGCAAUGAUCCAUAGCUGGUUCGAGAGGAUGAUCAGCCACACUAGAACUGAGACACGGUCUAGACUCCUACGGGAGGCAGCAGCUAAGAAUAUUGGACAAUGGGGGAAACCCUGAUCCAGCCAUGCCGCGUGAGUGAAGACGGCCUUCGGGUUGUAAAGCUCUUUCAAUUGUGAAGAUGAUGACGGUAACAAUAGAAGAAGCACCGGCUAACU